CCAGCAUUAAGUUGGGCACUCUAGAGGGACUGCCAGGGAUAACCUGGAGGAAGGUGGGGAUGACGUCAAAUCAUCAUGCCCCUUAUGCUUAGGGCUACACACGUGCUACAAUGGGUGGUACAGAGGGCAGCCAAGUCGUGAGGCCGAGCUAAUCCCUUAAAGCCAUUCUCAGUUCGGAUUGUAGGCUGAAACUCGCCUACAUGAAGCUGGAGUUACUAGUAAUCGCAGAUCAGAAUGCUGCGGUGAAUGCGUUCCCGGGUCUUGUACACACCGCCCGUCACACCACGGAAGUUGGGGGCGCCCGAAGCCACUUAGCUAACCCUUUUGGGAAGCGAGUGUCGAAGGUGAAAUCAAUAACUGGGGUGAAGUCGUAACAAGGUAGCCGUAUCGGAAGGUGCGGCUGGAUCACCUCCUUU
rnacentral:rRNA from 1 species